CGGGUUGUAGUAUAAUGGUAGUAUAUAUGCAUGGGGUGCAUACGGCAGCGGUUCGAUUCCGCUCAGCCCGA
rnacentral:tRNA from 1 species